rnacentral:lncRNA from 1 species
GAUCCGUGGCACUAAUGUCAAUGAUCCAUUUUUCCUCUAUGUCUGAAAUAGCCAAACAAAAACUAUUAACUGAAAAGGCUAAGACAUCUAGCAUGGCUGGUACUUUUGGUGAAGAAAAUUGCAAAUCACGAAGUGGACUAGCUGCUAGAUUAACAUGACUCUGAUCUGCAAUACUACCAGAAUGAAAGGCUAGAUUUGAGAACUGAGUCUAAAACUGUGGUUUCAAUAUAUUGAGGACCUAUUGACAUUGCUCUGGUGUGAUAGUCAAAUUGGAGAAUGUAUUGGACAUGUUUAGAAAGGUAGUGAAUCCAGUCACUUGAUUAGCACUUGAAGAAUAUUCCUAACCUUUGUUCUUUGCUAACUGAAAAGUUGAGGGAUACGAAUAUUAACCAAGAUUCCAAAAACACAAUCAAAAAUUGAAAAUAAAGUGCAGGAAAUAAAAAAUGAACACAAGGAUUUUUCGGCCGAAGCCCAGAGGUUCGGCGACCACUUCUAACUCUUAAUCCCCUGUUGAGCAUCCAUUAAAAUGAAUAAAGGUCGAUUGCACUAUAAAGCCCCAAAAAUAGGUAGCAAAUAUACAAUAAUGUUCCAAAAUUAUUACAAGUAUCAAGUCACUAAGACCUAUCUUAUGAGAAUCAACACGGUAGACACGAUUCCACGAAGAAAUCAUUGACCAAAUUACACAACUAUUACAUCACAGUUUCUGCCAUCAAAGAAUCACCCAUCUUUUAAGAGAAAGCACAAAAAUAAAUGGUAUUCCACCAAGGAACCAACCGAGAUCACCAAGAUCUAAAAAAACCGAACUGCCCUUCUCUAAAAUCACUUUUGCAUAAGACACAUAACACAGAAUAAAUCAUGCUCCACGAAGGAUUGUAUGCAUCUAUAGUAUUACUUGAGUUUUCUAGUAAUAUUUUCAACAAAAAACCUUCAAGAACCCAAACCCUAAUCACUAGAAGAAGAGUGAUUUUCUUUCGUAACAGAGAAGUGAGAGAAGAGAGAGAGACUUUUUCUUUUCCUUGAAAGUGAGACGUGAGAGAGAGAGAGAAUUAAUUGCUGGAAGAAAAGUCUUACCUCAAUUAAUGUGUAUCUUUCAAAUAUCACAUGGUUAGGUAGAAGAAUAUCCAAUGGUCAAGAAAAAAAAAACACAUUUCUUUCCUUUUUAAAUUUUGGAACACUUUUUUUUUUUCAACAAUCUCCACCUUGCUUCCAAAAUUUGAACCUAUAGUGCAUCCAGGAGCUUCGCCAUCAUUUAUAACUUCAGCAAUCAAUGAAAAGAAUCAAUAGAUAACAUCUUUAAAUAGUUUUGAAACUUAUUUAAAGGUAUCACCUUAGUUCCCAUAUCGGAUGGUUUAUACAAAGUAGGUAUUUUAUUAAUUUUCAGCAAUCAUUUUGAAAUAAUAUCCCUUAUAAAAAUGGUAUUUUACAUCAAAAUAUUUUGUUCUAUCAUGAAACAUGGGAUUCUUACUCAAAUGGAUUGCACUUUGGUUGUCAGAAUAUAAUAUUGGAUUAGUAUCUACAAAAUCAAGUUCAUUCAACAAACCAUGCAGCCGUAUGCCUUCUUUAAUGGCAUCAGUGGCAGCAAUAUAUUCAGCCUCAGUGAAAGAUAGAGCAACAAUUUUUUGUAACUGAGAUUUACAACUUAUCACAGUACCACACUAAGUGUAAAAAUAAGAUGAAGUUGAUUUUCUAUUAUCUCUAUUUCCAGCAAAAUCAGAAUCUGUAUAACCCUUUAAAAUUACCCCCUCUUUAUCCAUUUUAAACAUCAAACCCAAGUUAGAUGAGCCCUUUAAGUAUCUCAACAACCACUUCAAGGCUUCCCAAUGAGUUUCACCAGGAUUCGCCAUAAAUCUACUCAAACCACUAAUAUUAAAAGCCAAAUCAGGUCUGGUAUAAAUCAUUAAGUACAUGACUGAACCAAUAGCAUUAGCAUAAGGUAUUUUAGACAUUCUUUCAAAUUCAUCUUCAGUUUUUGAACAAGAACCAGAUGUUAAAAUAAAGUGAUUGGCAAGGGUAAAGUCACAGGUUUACAAUCAAACAUAUUAAACUUCUUGAGGAUCCUAUUCACAUACUCUUCUUGACAUAAAAACAAGCAAUCAGAUUUUUCAUCUCUUAUAAUAUGCGUGCCAAGUAUUUUUCUUAGCGGAACCAAGAUCCUUUAUAUCAAAUUCUGAUUUUAAUUUGUGUUUGAUAUCAUCAAUUUCAGAUUUAUUGGCACUAGCAAGAAGCAUAUCAUCAACAUAAAUCACAAGAUACAAAGAAUCUUUACCUCCAUUUCCUUUGCAAUAAAGACAUGUAUCAUAUCAUAAUUGCUUCUAUUAAACCCAAGCUUCAAGACGAAUGAAUCGAAUCUUUUAUACCAUUGUCUUGGAGCUUGUUUUAGGCCAUACAAAGAUUUUUUCAACAAACACACUGUUUUUUCUGGAUUUCCUUUAAUAAAUCCUAAAGGUUGUUUCAUGUAAAUCACUUCAUCCAAUUCACCAUAUAAAAAUGUAGUUUUUACAUCUAGUUGAUCAAGUUUCCACUUAAAUUGUACAACCAAAGCAAGAAUACAUCUUAUAGUUGUCUAUUUAACAACGGGGGGAAAAUCUCAUCAUAGUCCACACCCUCCUUUUGUGUGAAACCCUUGGCAACAAGCCUAGCCUUGUAUCUAACAUUGUUAGUUCCACCUUCCCCUUCCUUUAUCUUAUAAAUCCACUUGCAAUCAAUUAGUUUCUUAUCCUUAGGUCUAUCAAUCAAUUCCCAAGUUUUAUUUUUGUAUGGGGAAGACAUCUCUUCUUCGAUAGCAAUUAACUACCGCUUAGAAUCUUUCGAUUUUAAGGCUUCAUGAUAGGAACUAGGUUCAGCUUCAGAUUCAUCUUAAUAAGUGAACAAAGACACAAAAUCGUCACUAUUAAACCUAGCUAGUCAUCUAAUUUGUCUCCUAUCCCUGUCUCUAGUGAGUUGGUAUUCAUCUAGAGGUGUAUUAUCAUCAUUAUACUGCUCAGGUUCAGCCAAAUUAGGCUCGUUUUCAUUCUGAUCAGCCUCAUUAGUUGCUGUUUCUAGGGAGACAGAACUGGUAUUAUCAAUUUGAAUAGGCUCUACCUCAAUUUGGACAUCAUUUUCAAUCAAAUUUCUCUUUUUCCCUUCCAAACAUGGCAUACAUGACUCAUUAAAGACCAUAUCCCUUCUUGUAAUAACCUUGUAACCUUUUUCCCCCUAAACCCACAGCCUAUCCUUUAACAUUUUUAGCAUAACCCAAAAACACACAUUUAAGGGAUCUAAGUUCAAGUUUCCCUAUGUUUUGAUGAGCAUAUGCAGCACAACCAAAUGUUUUCAAGUAAGAAUAAUUUACAGGCUUUUGUGUCCACACAAUUUCAGGCACAUCAAAAUUUAAAGCACUUGUAGGAUUUCUAUUAAUCAAAUAUGCAACAGUUUUAACAGUUUCACCCCAAAAUAAUUUGGGCAAGCUAGAACUUAAAAGUAUGCAUCUAACUUUAUUCAACAAAGUUCUAUUCAUUCUUUCUGCAAUGCCAUUUUGCUGGGGUGUAUAGGUCACAGUUCUAUGUCUUAAAAUGCCAUGCAACUUGUAAAACUCAUUAAACGCAUAAUUGCAAAAUUCUAGACCAUUGUCGGUUCUCAAGGUUUUGAUUUUCAAAUCAGUUUGAUUUUCAAUUUGGGUUUCCAAUCUUUAAAUGUAGCAAAUGUUUCAUCUUUAGUUUUCAAAAGAAAUACCCAAAUUUUUCUUGAAAAAUCAUCAAUAAUAAGCAAGAAAUACUUGUAACCAGACAAUGUAGGGGCGGAUGUAGGGCCCCACAAAUUAGCAUGUAAGUAUUCUAGAAUUUGCUUUGAUUUAUGAGUACUAGUGGGAAAAGGUAACUUAACUUGCUUUCCAAUCAAACAUUGCUCACAUUUAGACAAAUCACCAAUAUUUGAUUUUUCAAAUACACCUUUAUUUUGUAAAACAUUUAAACCUUUUUCACCAAUGUGACCAAGUCUACAAUGCCACAAUUUUGUAAGAUUAAAACUAUCAUCUAAACUGCUGCUGAAAGGCCCAACAAAGAUUUUGCAUUUAAAAAGUAUAAACCGUGUCUCUUUGGGAUGGAAGUGAUCAAAUCACCAUCCCUAAAGAUUUUUUAUGUGUCCUUGAUCCAAUUUUAUGUCAAACUCCAUGUCAUCCAACAUUCCUAAAGACACAAGGUUUCUUUCUAAUUCAGGAACAAAUCUGGCCCCCUUUAACAAGAAAAUUCUACCAUUUUCUAAGAGCAAUUUUAUGGUUCCAAUACCUUUCACUUUACAGGUCAUGUUGUUUCCCAUGAUAACUUGGCCCCCUUUAGUUUGUUCAAAGUCCAAAAAAUAGUUUUUAUUAGGGCACAUGUGGAAAGAACAACCUGAAUCAAGAAUCCAUUCUUGAUUUAGGUUCCUUUCAACAUUUACAAGAACCAGGCUAUUGUCAAAUUUUUGCUUAUCAUAGGACAAAGCAGCAUUACCCUCAUUUAAUUUCUUUCCUUUCAAAUCAUUUUGCUUCUUGUAGUAAUCUUUUGCAAAGUGACCCAACUUACCAUAGUAAUAACAUUUCUUUCCCUUUGCCUUAGUUUUUUAUUUCAUUUUGUCAUUGUUUCUUUUCUUAGGGCCAUUUUGAAAUUUUGAAUGAAAAUUAGAUUUACCAACAUUUUUUGCCUUUUAUCAAAAGAUUUUCUCCACUUUGUUGGUUGAUAGAAUCUGAUUUUAAUUCAAGAACCCUAUUUCUUAAGGCAUGUAUAAUGAUUUCUGUGGUAAGCUUGUCUCUUCCAUAUUUAAGGCAUUUUUAAGGUCUUUAUGCCUAUCACUAAUAGAGUUUAACAAGACCACAGCCAGCUGAUCUUCUGAUAAUUUCUCAUCACAGUUGGCAAGGUCCUGGGUCAAUUUUGUAAAUCUGUCCAAGUUCUCAUCUAAGUCCACAGAAGGAUCCAUUUUAAAAGAAAAGAAUUGUUUUAGUAAAAAACAUUUGUUUAGAACAGUUUUUGGCUCAUAUUGGGCUUUCAAUUUAGUCCACAACUCUUCAGCAGUUUUAGUUUCACCUAUACUUGAUCACAUUGUCUGAAAGGUACAAGAAAAUAGUACUCCAUGCUAUUUCUUCUAAAUCAGUUCUUUUUGUAGCAGACAUUUCAACAGGCCAAGAAUUAUCUAAGGCUUUAGCACAUUUCAUUUGCAUCAAGAUAGCCCUCAUUUUCUGGCUCCACAUAUUAAAGUCCUCCGUCCCAUCAUACAAGCUCACUUCAAACUUAGCAGUAGCCAUGACUAGAUUCACCAAGAUAAUUCACAGAACACAAGUUUGAGUUCAAGAACACAUAGGGACAUACAACAAGAAUACUGCAGUCAGUCAGGGGAUUGGGGAUUGAUGACCAAUGCACUUAUUUCAAGUUUUCACAAAACAGUAAACACUUAACACUAAGUAUAGAAGGCAGAAUCACUAAGAGCAGAGAUAGCAAUCCUAUGCCUUAACUAACUUCUCCAGCAAGACCUUCCAAUUGCACUCCUACUAGUGUUGUUAUCUCAGAUUCCCAAGACUUCUUGAGCCUUUGGACAAAGACCAGCCACUGUAGAUUUUGUUAGUGCAAGGUAAAUCAAGGAAAAAAUUAGGAGACUCUACUGUAAGGAUUAAUUAUAGAAUGCACGAAAGAUCUCACCAAUGAGUUUGAUAAAACUCAAUUUCCACCGGCCAAUGUGUACUUCAGGUUUCAGGAAUCAGGUUUAAUCAAGAAAUCACAAGGCUCCAGUAGUCCAGGUUGCUCUAAUACCACUGAAAAGUCGAGGGAUGCGAAUAUUAACCAAGAUUCCAAAAACACAAUCAAAAACUGAAAAUAAAGUGCAGGAAAUAAAAAAUGAACACAAGGAUUUUUCGGCCGAAGCCCUAGAGGUUCGAUGACCACUUCUAAGGCCUAAUCUCCUAUUGAGCAUCCAUUAAAAUGGAUAAAGCUCAGUUGCACUAUAAAGCCCCAAAAAUAGGCAGCAAAUAUACAAUAAUGUUCCAAAAUUAUUACAAGUAUCAAGUCACUAAGACUUAUCUUAUGAGAAUCAACACAGCAGACACGAUUCCACGAAGAAAUCACUGAUCAAAUUACACAACUAUUACAUCACAGUUUCUGCCAUCAAAGAAUCACCCAUCUUUUAAGAGAAAACACAAAAAUAAAUGGUAUUCCACCAAGGAACGAACCGAGAUCAUCAAGAUCUCAAAAAAAUGAACUACCCUUGUCUAAAAUCACUUCGCAUAAGACACAUAACACAGAAUAAAUCGUGCUCCACGAAGGAAUGUAUGUAUCUAUAGUAUUACUUGAGUUUUCUAGUAAUAUUUUCAACAAAAAACCUUCAAGAACCCAAACCCUAAUCACUAGAAGAAGAGUGAUUUUCUUUCGUAACAGAGAAGUGAGAGAAGAGAGAGAGACUUUUUCUUUUCUUGAAAGUGAGAGGUGAGAGAGAGAGAGUUAAUUGCUGGAAGAAAAGUCUUGCCUCAAUUAAUUUGUAUCUUUCAUAUGGUCAGGUAGAAGAAUAUCCAAUGGUCAAGAAAAAAAACAUGUUUCUUUCCUUUUUAAAUUUUGGAACACUUUUUUUUUCAACACUAACUUAUAGCUCGAGGGAUAUCCAUGAAGCUUGUAACACUUGUAAAUAGCCAAGCAUACCACAGUAGCUGCAUUUUAGUCUAUCCUUCUUGAAACCCUGAUUAUUAUACAUAGGUUGUUGACCACCACUAGAAUUCAUUGAACCAGCCAUCAACCUACUUACAAAAGCAGUAGCUUCAACAUUAGUUUAGUUUUUAGACGCUAUAUCCUUUUGUUUCUCAUCCCGUUGAACUAAUACAAAUGCCUUGUUUAGUGGAGGCAGAGGCUCCAUCAUCAAAAUCUGGCUACACACAUUAGAAUAAAGUCAUCUAAUCCCAUUAAAAAUUGCAAGAUCUACUCCUCUUCAUAAUAGUAGUUGUUCUUAAGACUAUAGUUUGACAACUCUUCCCGCAAACCUUUCAGCCUAUUAAAAUAGGCACUCAUAGAGCCAUUUCCUUGUGAGAUAGAAACAUUCAACUAGAUUUGACAUGAUGAGUCCUUAUGCAUAAGACUUAGAUAUAACUCUUUAGGAAUUAAGUUUAUAGUGAAUAAUGAAAUUAUGUGAUUACCUCAACGCCAAGCCACAUACAAAGGUAAAUCCAUGGGAGAUUUAGGUAUAAAACCAUCAAUGAGACUUUCCUUAUUCUUCACACUGAGUGCCAUUUCUACAGCACAACUCCACGUUGAGUAAUUUUCAUCAGAAAGUAUAACAAACACAAUAUGCAUUCCCCGUAUUAUCUCCAUAGUGCAUGUAAUAAGGAUUCAAAGGAUUUGUUACCAUUCGUUAAGCAGCAACAAUUGGAUCUUCACUGUGAUGAGCAUUCAGUGAAGAAUUGUUGGUAGAACCUUCAUCUCGAGUCUCUAAGCUAGCAGCCAUGAGCGAAAGCUUCGAUUUGCUCCGAUACCAUGUAAA